AGAGUUUGAUCCUGGCUCAGGAUGAACGCUAGCUACAGGCUUAACACAUGCAAGUCGAGGGGCAGCAUGGUCUUAGCUUGCUAAGGCCGAUGGCGACCGGCGCACGGGUGAGUAACACGUAUCCAACCUGCCGUCUACUCUUGGACAGCCUUCUGAAAGGAAGAUUAAUACAAGAUGGCAUCAUGAGUUCACAUGUUCACAUGAUUAAAGGUAUUCCGGUAGACGAUGGGGAUGCGUUCCAUUAGAUAGUAGGCGGGGUAACGGCCCACCUAGUCUUCGAUGGAUAGGGGUUCUGAGAGGGAGGUCCCCCACAUUGGAACUGAGACACGGUCCAGACUCCUACGGGAGGCAGCAGUGGGGAAUAUUGGGCAAUGGGCGAAAGCCUGACCCAGCGACGCCGCGUGAGGGAAGAAGGUCUUCGGAUUGUAAACCUUUGUUGAUAGGGACGAACAGAUGACGGUACCUAUCGAGGAAGCCGCGGCUAACUACGUGCCAGCAGCCGCGGUAAUACGUAGGUGGCAAGCGUUAUCCGGAUUUACUGGGUGUAAAGGGUGUGUAGGCGGGAAAGCAAGUCAGAUGUGAAAAUUAUGGGCUCAACUCAUAACCUGCGCCUGAAACUACUUUUCUUGAGAGUCGGAGAGGUAAACGGAAUUCCUGGUGUAGCGGUGAAAUGCGUAGAUAUCAGGAGGAACACCGGUGGCGAAGGCGGUUUACUGGACGACAACUGACGCUGAGACACGAAAGUGUGGGGAGCAAACAGGAUUAGAUACCCUGGUAGUCCACACUGUAAACGAUGAAUGCUAGGUGUGGGGGCGAAAGCCUCCGUGCCGCAGCUAACGCAAUAAGCAUUCCACCUGGGGAGUACGGCCGCAAGGUUGAAACUCAAAGGAAUUGACGGGGGCCCGCACAAGCAGUGGAGUAUGUGGUUUAAUUCGAAGCAACGCGAAGAACCUUACCAGGUCUUGACAUCAAGUGACCGCCUAAGAGAUUAGGCCUUCUCUUCGGAGACACGAAGACAGGUGGUGCAUGGUUGUCGUCAGCUCGUGUCGUGAGAUGUUGGGUUAAGUCCCGCAACGAGCGCAACCCUUAUCAUUAGUUGCUACGCAAGAGCACUCUAAUGAGACUGCCGUUGACAAAACGGAGGAAGGUGGGGAUGACGUCAAAUCAUCAUGCCCUUUAUGACCUGGGCUACACACGUACUACGAUGGCGUUUAACAAAGAGAAGCGAAACAGCGAUGUGGAGCAAAUCUCCAAAAAACGUCUCAGUUCGGAUUGUAGGCUGCAACUCGCCUACAUGAAGUCGGAAUUGCUAGUAAUCGUAGGUCAGCAUACUACGGUGAAUACGUUCCCGGGCCUUGCACUCACCGCCCGU
rnacentral:rRNA from 1 species